rnacentral:rRNA from 1 species
UUUUGUGACCAUACCGGCCUGUCAUUGCCCGAUCUCAUUAGAUCUCGGAAACUAAGAAGGCCUGGGCCUGGGCCUGGUUAGUAGUAGGAUGGGAGACCACUGAGAAUUCCAGGUGUCACAGUGG